rnacentral:rRNA from 1 species
UACGUAGGGGGCUAGCGUUGUUCGGAAUUACUGGGCGUAAAGCGCACGUAGGCGGCUUGGUAAGUUAGAGGUGAAAGCCUGGAGCUCAACUCCAGAAUUGCCUUUAAGACUGCCGAGCUAGCAGGUGAGAGAGGUGAGUGGAAUUCCGAGUGUAGAGGUGAAAUUCGUAGAUAUUCGGAAGAACACCAGUGGCGAAGGCGGCUCACUGGCUCAUACUGGACGCUGAGGUGCGAAAGCGUGGGGAGCAAACAGG